rnacentral:rRNA from 1 species
GACGAACGCUGGCGGCGUGCUUAACACAUGCAAGUCGAACGAUGAAGCCGGAGCUUGCUCUGGUGAAUUAGUGGCGAACGGGUGAGUAACACGUGAGUAACCUGCCCUUGACCCUGGGAUAACUGCGGGAAACUGUAGCUAAUACCGGAUACGACCCUCGGAGGCAUCUCCUGGGGGUGGAAAGAAUUUCGGUCAAGGAUGGACUCGCGGCCUAUCAGCUAGUUGGGGAGGUAAAGGCUCACCAAGGCGACGACGGGUAGCCGGCCUGAGAGGGUGACCGGCCAGAAUGGGACUGAGACACGUCCCAGACUCCUACGGGCGGCAGCAGUGGGGAAUAUUGCACAAUGGGCGCAAGCCUGAUGCAGCAACGCCGCGUGAGGGAUGACGGCCUUCGGGUUGUAAACCUCUUUUAGCAGGGAAGAAGCGAAAGUGACGGUACCUGCAGAAAAAGCACCGGCUAACUACGUGCCAGCCGCCGCGGUAA